GUCAGUUUGGCCGAGUGGUUAAGGCGACAGACUCGACAGCGGGUGGGAUUUUCCCGCACAGGUUCAAAUCCUGUAGCUGACG